CUCGAGGAGAAAAAAUCAAUCAUGUUAAAGCCAACGUCAACUGGUGAAGUGGUUGCAAAGAUUGAUCUUUUUCACCUUCCCGGAGAAACUUUAACCCGGGAAUGCACUUUAUUUUGUCUUGGCUUCCCUCCCGAACUCCACUAUUAAAAAUGAAGGAAUCACGAACUUUUCACCGAAAGCUUUUGCAUUCUUCAUAAUUACGCUUGUCGCCUCCCUUCCUUCGAUGAUCGAACCUUAAAUGGAAUGGCAGAUUUCUCAGAACCCUCACCUCCAUUAACAAUUCACAGGAAGAAAACACAGCAGGAAGGGAGGGGGAGAGAAUGUGGGAAGACAGAGCGUCCUCCCAAGCAGACCAGCAAAGCAACUUGAACAUACUUCAGCUUGAUGUUGUUCAGUUUUAUCAUCUGCUGCAUGGGACCGGAGAGUUGAUCCUGUGCUGUACUCAGAGCUGCCUGGAGACUCUUCAUAUAAAUCAGUUUUCUCUGAAUGUUGAAGUUAUAUGAGGGUGCAAAGAAAUGUCUCAGUGCAAGUGAGCUGAGCAGUUCUGCUUGCUGCAUCAAAGCAGUGAUCUUUGGAUCAUCCCUUCUAAGAAAUGUUACUUGGCCCUUGUCAUCUGCACCUACUUUUGAUCAGCAGGGAAAAUUGGUGUUAACUUCUCUUGAAAGAAAUGGUGUUCUAUUAAGAAGAAAAAGAUGACAAGGAAAAGGGAGAAUGGAGAAAAAUAACAAAACUGCAAUAGGGAAACUUUGACCAACAUUCUGUUGGUCAGCGUAACAUAAAUUCUGCUGUUCCUAUCAAUGUUAACCAGAUAUGGCAAGAUCAUGGUUUAACAUUUUACUUUGAGAGCAUUACUAUCCAGGGAAAGACAUGUUCAUUACUGAAUUUUAUUUUUCUUUUCUACUACAUAAACAAAUGUCCAGGAGAUGGUUUACCAUCAUUAGAGGCUGCUUUGAUGUUGUUGCUGACAUGUUGCUGUGCUGACAAGUUGCCAAUGUUGUGGAGGUUUUGAACCAAUACUGCAAAGGGCGGUCUCAGCUGGUGAUUCUCAACGCAUUGCCUUAGAGAUCCUUCUUUGGUGUUUUCUGUGAGAUUCAAGAUUUGGGUCCUACAUCACAACUUUUAAGUGUUAUAUGUAAAGCAUUAUAUCUUGUUGCCAUAUAUUGGGAAAAUUGUGUCGCUAUUAUACCUCAUUUUCUUAAGAGGUGGUGUAGAUUCAGAAGAUCCGUUCAUUAUAAACCCAUUUUGAUCUAUAACUCUCUUGUUGUUUGGGUUUAUGCAUGAAGUGUUAUUCUCCUUUGAUAA